GGUUUGACAGACAGACAGUUAUGCUUUUUGAUGCUGGAGCAUGAGGAACAGCUUUCCUGACACCUGCAGAGGGAAUCAUGUAGAAGAAGAGCACAUAUUUCACAGCUGGAUGUUGGCCAAAGUACCAAGGUUUUCCAUGAUCCUCAGGACAAGAAAGCAGUGCAGGUGCAAGUUCAAGCUGUUGAAGGAGCACCUCUUCACUUGGUUGUAUUUCUCAGUGUAGCUUUUAAAUCAAGAGAUUUGACUGCAACAGAAAACUUCCUUGGACAGUUUCUGGAAAUGAAGAAAAAAAAUCUAACAUUUCUGUGAGUCUGCAAGUUCUCUGUAGCCAGGCGCCUCAAUGCAGUCAAUUGGUAGAGCUCCGUGGACCUCAACACAACCAAACCCUUCAGGGAUGGUGGCUGUCCCUCAGCCACCAAGAUAACUCAGCAGUCAUGGCUGCUAUAUGCCACCACUCAGGUUAUGAGGCCUUGGGGCAAAACCCUUCUGUGCACUGUGGCAGCAAAGUGGUGAUGUUUAUGGUUGACGUCAGCCCAAGAAGUGUGGGUGAUGCUCACUCCUCUCAGCUGAGGGAGAAGCAAAGGAGGCUGUUCAGAUGUUCCUGGAUGAGAUUACAGACCCUAAUGCUCAACAACUGCCACUGCGGUUAGCCAAAACGUGUGGCCAUCUGCUCUGGGAUUUUGUGCCUGUAGACAAGGAGUUCUGCCAGCUUCAGGAGAACUCAGGCUUUCCUCCAAAGCAGUAAAUUUGGAGCAGGGGGAGAAAGAAAAAUGCUCAAUGUUGCAGGCUCUCCCAGAGGAAGGUGCGGAAGCUCAUCAUCUCAGAGGCAAAAUUUCAACUCCAGAAGCAUUGCUGUUACAAGAUUUCAGCCUCUGCAGACCUGCCUACAGUCAGAAACGCAACAGACCAAUCUGCAGUGUGACUCCCGUGUGAAGACCUGGGAUUGUCAAGUGUGGAGACAACAGAAGUGGCUGGCUCCUGGGACAGUCCUUCAGCCAUGGUCCUUCAGAGAGAGGAGGGAGGCAGGCAGCCAGACCUGCUCAUUCAGCUGUGAGGGAGCUAAAGGUUGGAGACACUUACGACCAAUGGAUCUGUGAAGACAGACACAUAAGUGCAAAUAUCCCCUGUCCUACUACUGCAAAGGGCAAUAAAAGCUGCUAUCCACCC
rnacentral:lncRNA from 14 species